ensembl:lncRNA
GUGCUGAGCAUAUUUCAAACAUUAUCUCAGUUUUAUUACUAUAGUAAUUAUAUGAGUCAAUAUUAGGUCUAUUUUAUAGGACAGUGAUUUAGGCAUAGACUAUUUUUUUUCUUAAAUUCAUUUAUUGGUACAUUUUAGGUAUACAACACAAUUACAUUUCUCAUUGGGAACAUGUACCUUUACAUGAUGUAUCUUGGUUCUUGUUUUUCCCCAUUUCUAGCCCUCCCUUCACCCCUUUCACCCUUCCCUAUUUACAAAGACUUUAUUUCCAUUUUUUCCAUUUCUCAGCAUUUUUCCUUUCCCUUCUUUCCUUUCCCCUGCCCCUCCCAAUACCCCUACCCCUUUGGACCUCUUCCUCCUAUUUUGCAUUAUUGAUUAUUCAUUCUAAUCAUUGGUACAUUUUAGGUAUACAGUAUAAUGACAUUCAUCAUUGGAAAUUUGCAUCUUUACAUAGUCUCUCUUGGUUCUUAUUUUUCACCCUUGCCCAGCCCUACCUUCAACCUCUCCACUGCCCGCCUAUUUACAAAGAUUUUGUUCCUAUUUUUCCACUUUGUCAUAUUAAUUCCAUUCCCUUCUUUCCUUUCCCCUACCCCUCCCACUUCCUUCCCCUUUGCCCCUUUUCUUCCUAUUUCACAAAAUAAGGACUAAAAUGUAUAAUAGACUAUUUAAAUAACUGGUUGAAGUCAGAAUUAGUGUAAAGUCUGGGAUUACUUUGAAAAAUCAAUAUGAAAAUAUGGUUGUGCAACAUUUUCUCCUAGGAUGCAUUUUUGAAAUGAAUCUUUAGGCUUUUUCACCUAGUGAAAGUCACAGUAUAUGCUUAUGCAAACCUAGAUGGCAGAAGUUAAGUACAUUCUCACAAAUACGUAAUGCUUUGUGCUGAAAUGUGAUGGCUACAAUGUCACAAGGGGACAGAACUUUCUCCAUUCUAUUUUAAUCUAAUGGGACCACUGUCCCCUUUGUGGCCUGUCAUUUACUCAAGUGGCCUUAUGUCACAUGACUAUAAUAAUACAUCUAUGUUUUCUGCACAAUGCAAACAUUAAAAAGCCAACACUUACUGAUACAUUAUCGCAUACUGAAAAUUAUUGGGUGCUAUGGGAAAAGAGGUAAAAAUGAAACUGCUUGCCAUCUUGUAUAAUUAAUAAAUAUCAUAAUCAUGACUUAAAUUUCUUCAAUAAAAUGGCUAACAUAGGCCAAGCAUGGUGGCAUCCUCCUAUAAUCCCAACACUUUGGGAGACUGAGGCAGUAGGAUCCCAAAUUCAAGCUCAGCUUGAAGAAUUUAGUGACUUAAUGAGAAACUACCUCAACAGUAAAAAUAAUAAUAAUGUCAGGUAUGGUGGUACAUGCCUGUAAUCCUAGCACUAGGAAGGCAGAGGCAGGAAGAUCACCAUGAGUUUGAGGCAAGCCUGGGCUACAUAGUGAGCUCAAGCCAAGCUUGAACCACAUAGCAAGACCCUGUCUUGAUGAUGAUGAUGAUGAUAAUAAUAAUAAUAACAACAACAAUAAUAAUAAUAAUAAAGGGCUGGGGCUGUAGCUUAGUUUGAAAGACCGAAGUUCUAUCUCUAGAACUGGAAAAAAAAAAGGUACCACAGAUAUGCUCAAGAAUACUAAAAAUCUUAAUACAUUAUUUUUCAAAAUAAAUUACUAUUGUAAGAAUAUGAGUGUGCAUUACUUCCCUAUGCAAAUAAAGUUUGAAUAACUGCUCUUAUCUUCACUGACUCAAACCUCUAAUUUUU